CGGGAUGUGCUUGCACAUCGCUGACGAGUGGCGGACGGGUGAGUAAUGCUUGGGAACUUACCUUUGCGAGGGGGAUAACAGUUGGAAACGGCUGCUAAUACCGCAUAAUGUCUUCGGACCAAACGGGGCUUCUGCUCCGGCGCAAAGAGAGGCCCAAGUGAGAUUAGCUAGUUGGUAAGGUAACGGCUUACCAAGGCGACUAUCUCUAUCUGUUCUGAGAGGAAUAUCAGCCACACUGGGACUGACACACGGCCCACACUCCUACGGGAGGCAGCAGUGGGGAAUAUUGCACAGUGGGGGAAACCCUGAUGCACCCAUGCCGCGUGUGUGAAGAAGGCCUUCGGGUUGUAAAGCACUUUCUUUUGUGAGGAAAAGUUAGUAGUUAAUACCUGCUAGCCGUGACGUUAACAACAAAAGAAGCACCGGCUAACUCCGUGCCAGCAGCCGCGGUAAUACGGAGGGUGCGAGCGUUAAUC
rnacentral:rRNA from 1 species